rnacentral:ncRNA from 1 species
CCAAACAAAUUGAUCAGGGGAAGUAGUUUCGACAUGGAUAUACAGAAAGCUUUCAUUUGCUGAGAGAGAGCUGAAGUGUCAAACGAAAAUGACCUGUGAUUGGUGCGCUGAAUCCGUUAGGACAAAGUGGCAAUGGCCGGUACCCAUUACAGUACACGCGUAUAAUUACUGUACGUUGUUAAGGGGAUAGAUGUAAGUCUAUCCUAAAUUAGAAUGGUACCGCGGGCAGCCGCUUCUAAA